rnacentral:rRNA from 1 species
CAGGACGAACGCUGGCGGCGUGCUUAACACAUGCAAGUCGAACGGGGAUUAGUUGAUUGAGAGCUUCGGCAGGAAAUCGAUAAUUCGAGUGGCGGACGGGUGAGUAACGCGUGAGCAACCUGUCCCAGACAGGGGGAUAACACUUGGAAACAGGUGCUAAUACCGCAUAAGACCACGGGAUCACAUGGUUCCGGGGUAAAAGGAGCAAUCCGGUUUGGGGUGGGCUCGCGUCCGAUUAGCCGGUUGGCGGGGUAACGGCCCACCAAAGCGACGAUCGGUAGCCGACCUGAGAGGGUGAACGGCCACAUUGGAACUGAGAGACGGUCCAAACUCCUACGGGAGGCAGCAGUGGGGAAUAUUGGGCAAUGGGCGAAAGCCUGACCCAGCAACGCCGCGUGAGUGAAGAAGGCCUUCGGGUUGUAAAGCUCUGUUAUAGUUGACGAAGGAAGUGACGGUAGGCUAUAAGGAAGCCCCGGCUAACUACGUGCCAGCCGCAGC